UUAAGUUCAGCGGGUAUUCCUACCUGAUCCGAGGUCAACCUUGAUAAGUUGGGGGUUUUUACGGCCGGUACCCGACGCGUUCCCUGAGCGAGGAUGUUUACUGCACUCGGUACGACGACGAGCCCGCCACUGCUUUUGGGAGCCUGCGGCAGCCGCAGGGCUCCAACACAAGCGCGGGCGCUUGAUGGUUGAAAUGACGC
rnacentral:misc_RNA from 1 species